rnacentral:rRNA from 1 species
UACGGAGGAUGCGAGCGUUAUCCGGAUUUAUUGGGUUUAAAGGGUGCGUAGGCGGCCUGCUAAGUCUGGAGUGAAAGGUACCGGCUCAACCGCGGAACUGCAUUUGAAACUGUCAGUCUUGAGUACCGGAGAGGUCAUCGGAAUUCCUUGUGUAGCGGUGAAAUGCGUAGAUAUAAGGAAGAACACCAGUGGCGAAGGCGGAUGACUGGACGGCAACUGACGGUGAGACGCGAAAGCGUGGGGAGCAAACAGG